rnacentral:rRNA from 1 species
GAUGAACGCUGGCGGCGUGCCUAAUACAUGCAAGUCGAGCGAAUGGAUUAAGAGCUUGCCCUUAUGAAGUUAGCGGCGGACGGGUGAGUAACACGUGGGUAACCUGCCCAUAAGACUGGGAUAACUCCGGGAAACCGGGGCUAAUACCGGAUAACAUUUUGAACCGCAUGGUUUGAAAUUGAAAGGCGGCUUCGGCUGUCACUUAUGGAUGGACCCGUGUCGCAUUAGCUAGUUGGUGAGGUAACGGCUCACCAAGGCAACGAUGCGUAGCCGACCUGAGAGGGUGAUCGGCCACACUGGGACUGAGACACGGCCCAGACUCCUACGGGAGGCAGCAGUAGGGAAUCUUCCGCAAUGGACGAAAGUCUGACGGAGCAACGCCGCGUGAGUGAUGAAGGCUUUCGGGUCGUAAAACUCUGUUGUUAGGGAAGAACAAGUGCUAGUUGAAUAAGCUGGCACCUUGACGGUACCUAACCAGAAAGCCACGGCUAACUACGUGCCAGCCGCCGCAGUAA